UCCUCUGUAGCUUAGUUGGUAGAGCAUGGUGCUUGCAAUGCCAGGGUUGUGGGUUGGAUUCCCAGGGAGGAC
rnacentral:tRNA from 1 species